CCGUCAAGCCCUGGGCGGGGAGGAGCGCUCCGGGCUGCGGCUGGGGGUAGGGAGCGAGGGAAGGGCGCUUCAGGGGCAGCGGGGACCCGGCCUGGCCGCUUGUGGUGGCGGCGGCUGCGCCGCCCGGAGCGCUGCUCGCGUAGUGCCGCACCGCCCCGUGCGCGUCCGCGGGACGGGAAAAGCUCCGCCCGGCGCAGCGCUACGAGGAGCGCCCGUGUCCCCGUUGCCCCCCGCCACCCCUCGUGGCAGCCGCCAUCGCCUUAUUUGGUGGGGUCCGAUUAGCGCUCCUGCUCCCGCGCCGCUGAAGCUUCUGCCGUCGGGGCGGCGGCUCUCCCAGCCACGCGAUCUCCGGGCUGGAGGUCCGCUUGUCCCCACGCUUCGCCCGUGUGCAGCGUCCCAAGUGGGUGGGAGGCACCGGCGAGGGGUCGGCGUCACUUCGCGUGCCACGGGAAAAGUACAACUGCCGCGUCCCGUGGCUCCAGCUUGCUGGUACUCAGCACGUGCUCACGUGUGACUUAGGUUCUUGAAGGACUCCUGUUUUUAGGGGCAAAAUAUCAAAGAGGUGUAAGCCACGUGAUCACAGCUCACAGUCAAUUGCUGUUCCUCUAUAACUAACCUGCUACUGCUGCUGCUCAUUUUGGGUAUUGUAGAAUAUCCCAAGUUGGAAGGAACCCACAAAGAUCAUUGAGUAGAGCGCCUGGCUCCGGACAGGACCACCCCAAAUCCAAACCUUAUCUCAGAGCAUUGUCCGAGAGCAGCGUCCAGACGCUCCUCGAACUCCAGCACUCUGGGCCGUGCCCACAGCCCUGUGCAGCCUCUUCCAUGCCCACCGCCCUCUGGUGCAUUCCCUGACCCCCAGCUGCCCCUCCCCUCACACAGCUCCAUGCCGUUCCCUCGGGCCCUGUCACCGUUACACAGAGUGGAGCUCAGCGCUGCCCUUCUGCUCCCUGUGAGGAACUGUGGGCUGCCAUGAUGUCUCCAACUAAAGAGCCCACUGUCCACAUAAGAUCUUAUGCACUGAAUUCAUGGCCUGAAAAUGUCAGUAGGGAUGGCAGUUUCUGCGGAAGCUCAAUUCUGGGAUGAAACGAAGCUUUUUUGGACCUCAACCUAUGCUUUACAGGUGAAUGGAAAUUGACCCUGCGUGUCCAUGGAUGACCUGCAG